rnacentral:rRNA from 1 species
UACGAAGGGGGCUAGCGUUGCUCGGAAUCACUGGGCGUACAGCGCACGUAGGCGGAUUGCUAAGUCAGGGGUGAAAUCCUGGAGCUCAACUCCAGAACUGCCUUUGAUACUGGCGAUCUCGAGUCCGGGAGAGGUGAGUGGAACUGCGAGUGUAGAGGUGAAAUUCGUAGAUAUUCGCAAGAACACCAGUGGCGAAGGCGGCUCACUGGCCCGAUACUGACGCUGAGGCACGAAAGCGUGGGGAGCAAACAGG